rnacentral:lncRNA from 1 species
AGGCUCUAAGAAGCUUUUGCAAGAAAGGCCCACUAUUCUCAACCAAAAGUGCUCUCUACGCUCUACUUAUUUCCUUGGAAGCUCCUUCCUCCUGGCAGUUCAGUAACAUUUCCCUAAGGGUGAGCAAUCUGGAACCUGAGAGUGGGUUUCUAUUUCUUUUUAAGAAAAAGAAAAAGAUUACAGAAUUCCUUCAUCUCUGAAGACAAAAUUAAAUUCAGUUGCAAUGUCAUCAAUUCACGGGAAAUAAUAGGACAGAUCUGUCAUUUCAUCCAAAUUUCCUGUGCCUGCUUGUUUAUUUUUUUCCGGCAGAAUUUUUUGAUCUCCUGUUCGCUCUAUACAAUCAUAAUGGAAUAUUGAUUGGCCCACUAAGAAUUAACU